rnacentral:lncRNA from 1 species
CCAUAGUCGUCUCUCCAGCCAAAAGGUGAACUAUGGAGAAUAAUGAAUCCUGAACUACUCCGAUGGUUUAGCUGAUUCAAGGAAUAAGAUUGGCCUUAAUUAACCUCAGAACCAUUGAGAAAUUCAACAGGUUACUUUUGGAGGCCCAAUAUAUGGCUAUGAGGAUGAAAUUAAAUAGGUUUCCUACAAUAAACAUACUUCAAGAUCUUGUGAAAGGAGCAGCAAUAACGAACAUGUAAAGUAGAUAUGCAUAGUCGUAAAAGCUAGUAUCAGCACAAACUGAGUUAUUGACAUUCAGAACUGAGAGACUUCGUUGAUUCUUAGUGUUCUUGAAGGAUUUUUUACAAGAAUCAAGAACUAACAGCUGGCUUUAAUUGCCCAAUUUCAAUACUAAUUCUCAGGAAAGGAACCAAAAAACAAAAUUCAAGUGCCCGCAUAUCCACCGCAAAAAUUCAGGCAACAAUCAUUAACAACAAUCUAUCUUUCUUUUUUUC